rnacentral:rRNA from 1 species
UACGGGGGGGGCAAGCGUUGGUCGGAAUUACUGGGCGUAAAGGGCUCGUAGGCGGCCAACUAAGUCAGACGUGAAAUCCCUCGGCUUAACCGGGGAACUGCGUCUGAUACUGGAUGGCUUGAAUUCGGGAGAGGGAUGCGGAAUUCCAGGUGUAGCGGUGAAAUGCGUAGAUAUCUGGAGGAACACCGGUGGCGAAGGCGGCAUCCUGGACCGACAUUGACGCUGAGGAGCGAAAGCCAAAGGAGCAAACGGG